AAGUCGAACGAAACAGCUGGCUCUUGCACUGAAUGAGAUUUUAAYAYGAAGUNAGUGGCGGACGGGUGAGUAACACGUGGGUAACCUGCCCAGAAGCAGGGGAUAACACCUGGAAACAGAUGCUAAUACCGUAUAACAGAGAAAACCGCCUGGUUUUCUUUUAAAAGAUGGCUCUGCUAUCACUUCUGGAUGGACCNCGGCGCAUUAGCUAGUUGGUGAGGUAACGGCUCACNAAGGCGAUGAUGCGUAGCCGACCUGAGAGGGUAAUCGGCCACAUUGGGACUGAGACACGGCCNNGACUCCUACGGGAGGCAGCAGUAGGGAAUCUUCCACAAUGGACGCAAGUCUGAUGGAGCAACGCCGCGUGAGUGAAGAAGGGUUUCGGCUCGUAAAGCUCUGUUGUUAAAGAAGAACGUGGGUGAGAGUAACUGUUCACCCAGUGACGGUAUUUAACCAGAAAGCCACGGCUAACUACGUGCCAGCAGCNNCNGUAAUACGUAGGUGGCNAGCGUUAUCCGGAUUUAUUGGGCGUAAAGCGAGCGCAGGCGGUCUUUUAAGUCUAAUGUGAAAGCCUUGGCUCAACCGAAGAAGUGCAUUGGAAACUGGGAGACUUGAGUGCAGAAGAGGACAGUGGAACUCCAUGUAGCGGUGAAAUGCGUAGAAUAUGGAAGACACCAGUGGCGAAGGCGGNUGUCUGGUCUGUAACUGACGCUGAGGCUCGAAAGCAUGGGUAGCGAACAGGAUUAGAUACCCUGGUAGUCCAUGCCGUAAACGAUGAUUACUAAGUGUUGGAGGGUUUCCGCCCUUCAGUGCUGCAGAACGCAUUAAGUAAUCCGCCUGGGGAGUACGACCGCAAGGUUGAAACUCAAAGAAUUGACGGGGGCCNGCACAAGCGGUGGAGCAUGUGGUUUAAUUCGAANNUACGCGAAGAACCUUACCAGGUCUUGCAUCUUCUGCCAACCUAAGAGAUUAGGNGUUUCCCUUCGGGGACAGAAUGACAGGUGGUGCAUGGUUGUGUCAGCUCGUGUCGUGAGAUUGUUGGGUUAAGUCCCNCAAAGGCUAACC
rnacentral:rRNA from 1 species